GACCCAGGAAUGCUUGGGCGUGCCUCCACCCACGCCGGCGUCGGCGGGCGUAUUUCGCCUCACAGUAGGUCGCCGCGACCCGUUGCUUUUGGGGACGUCGAAGGCCCGGACGGAUUGGUACCCUACCGGCUGGGGAUGCGGCUUCGGCUUCUCCUCUUGUCCGGUGGGCGAAACCGCCGGUGUCCUGGCUGCCCUGCGACGGUCGUAGAGACGAGCCCUCCCCUUCGGGGGGGCGGCUCUCGCGGCGUGCAAAAGGUCGGUGAUCCACCCGACCCGUCUUGAAACACGGACCAAGGAGUCUAACAUGUGUGCGAGUCAGUGGGCGCACUAAACCCAGAGGCGUAAUGAAAGUGACACGGGUUCGGCUGUCGCCUCGUGUGGCAGCCGGACUCAGGGCCGAUCCCUCACCGGUUGCCCUCGCCUCUCUCCCGCGUCUCGGUAAGCCGGGUGAGCUAUUUUCCCCGGCCGCUGCUGCGGGGCUCGGGGGGAGGCGGGGUGCGAUGGUGUCUGUAAAAAAGAGCCUGCUGUUGCAGGGGGGCGCAGGCCCGGGACUUGCCAGGACGCCGCGAGACUGUCACUUUGCUGUGAGGCUCUCGGGCCGAUCAGCGGGUCAUGCGUGCAGUCGGCAAGUACCAUGAGCAGACAUGUUGGGACCCGAAAGAUGGUGAACUAUGCCUGGCCAGGAUGAAGCCAGAGGAAACUCUGGUGGAGGUCCGUAGCGAUUCUGACGUGCAAAUCGAUCGUCGGAGCUGGGUAUAGGG
rnacentral:rRNA from 1 species